GUGAGGAAUUUUCCGCAAUGGGCGAAAGCCUGACGGAGCAAUGCCGCGUGAAGGAUGAAGGCCUAUGGGUUGUAAACUUCUUUUCUCAGAAAAGAAUUAUGACGGUAUCUGAGGAAUAAGCAUCGGCUAACUCUGUGCCAGCAGCCGCGGUAAGACAGCGGAUGCAAGCGUUAUCCGGAAUGAUUGGGCGUAAAGCGUCUGUAGGUUGUUUAAAAAGUAUUCUGUCAAAGAUUAGGGCUUAACCCUAGAAAGGCAGAAUAAACUUUUAAGCUAGAGUUUGGUAGAGGCAGAGGGAAUUCCCGGUGGAGCGGUGAAAUGCGUAGAUAUCGGGAGGAACACCAAAGGCGAAGGCACUCUGCUGGGCCAAUACUAACACUGAGAGACGAAAGCGAGGGGAGCAAAUGGGAUUAGAUACCCGAGUAGUCC
rnacentral:rRNA from 1 species